rnacentral:rRNA from 1 species
AGCGAACGCUGGCGGCAUGCCUAACACAUGCAAGUCGAACGAACUCUUCGGAGUUAGUGGCGGACGGGUGAGUAACACGUGGGAACGUGCCUUUUGGUUCGGAAUAACUCAGGGAAACUUGUGCUAAUACCGAAUGUGCCCUUCGGGGGAAAGAUUUAUCGCCAUUAGAGCGGCCCGCGUCUGAUUAGCUAGUUGGUGAGGUAACGGCUCACCAAGGCGACGAUCAGUAGCUGGUCUGAGAGGAUGACCAGCCACACUGGGACUGAGACACGGCCCAGACUCCUACGGGAGGGAGCAGAGGGGAAUCUUGCGCAAUGGGGGAAAGCCUGACGCAGCCAUGCCGCGUGAAUGAUGAAGGUCGUAGGAUUGUAAAAUUCUUUCACCGGGGACGAUAAUGACGGUACCCGGAGAAGAAGCCCCGGCUAACUUCGUG